rnacentral:rRNA from 2 species
AUACAUGCAAGUCGAACGAGUUCUCGUUGAUGAUCGGUGCUUGCACCGAGAUUCAACAUGGAACGAGUGGCGGACGGGUGAGUAACACGUGGGUAACCUGCCCUUAAGUGGGGGAUAACAUUUGGAAACAGAUGCUAAUACCGCAUAGAUCCAAGAACCGCAUGGUUCUUGGCUGAAAGAUGGCGUAAGCUAUCGCUUUUGGAUGGACCCGCGGCGUAUUAGCUAGUUGGUGAGGUAAUGGCUCACCAAGGCGAUGAUACGUAGCCGAACUGAGAGGUUGAUCGGCCACAUUGGGACUGAGACACGGCCCAAACUCCUACGGGAGGCAGCAGUAGGGAAUCUUCCACAAUGGACGCAAGUCUGAUGGAGCAACGCCGCGUGAGUGAAGAAGGCUUUCGGGUCGUAAAACUCUGUUGUUGGAGAAGAAUGGUCGGCAGAGUAACUGUUGUCGGCGUGACGGUAUCCAACCAGAAAGCCACGGCUAACUACGUGCCAGCAGCCGCGGUAAUACGUAGGUGGCAAGCGUUAUCCGGAUUUAUUGGGCGUAAAGCGAGCGCAGGCGGUUUUUUAAGUCUGAUGUGAAAGCCCUCGGCUUAACCGAGGAAGCGCAUCGGAAACUGGGAAACUUGAGUGCAGAAGAGGACAGUGGAACUCCAUGUGUAGCGGUGAAAUGCGUAGAUAUAUGGAAGAACACCAGUGGCGAAGGCGGCUGUCUGGUCUGUAACUGACGCUGAGGCUCGAAAGCAUGGGUAGCGAAACAGGAUUAGAUACCCUGGUAGUCCAUGCCGUAAACGAUGAAUGCUAGGUGUUGGAGGGUUUCCGCCCUUCAGUGCCGCAGCUAACGCAUUAAGCAUUCCGCCUGGGGAGUACGACCGCAAGGUUGAAACUCAAAGGAAUUGACGGGGGGCCCGCACAAGCGGUAGGAGCAUGUGGUUUAAUUCGAAGCAACGCGAAGAAACCUUACCAGGUCUUGACAUCUUUUGAUCACCUGAGAGAUCAGGUUUCCCCUUCGGGGGCAAAAUGACAGGUGGUGCAUGGUUGUCGUCAGCUCGUGUCGUGAGAUGUUGGGUUAAGUCCCGCAACGAGCGCAACCCUUAUGACUAGUUGCCAGCAUUUAGUUGGGCACUCUAGUAAGACUGCCGGUGACAAACCGGAGGAAGGUGGGGAUGACGUCAAAUCAUCAUGCCCCUUAUGACCUGGGCUACACACGUGCUACAAUGGAUGGUACAACGAGUCGCGAGACCGCGAGGUCAAGCUAAUCUCUUAAAGCCAUUCUCAGUUCGGACUGUAGGCUGCAACUCGCCUACACGAAGUCGGAAUCGCUAGUAAUCGCGGAUCAGCACGCCGCGGUGAAUACGUUCCCGGGCCUUGUACACACCGCCCGUCACACCAUGAGAGUUUGUAACACCCGAAGCCGGUGUAGUAACCCUUUUAGGGAGCGAGCCG